AAUAAGAAUAUGCUUACCGUAGACAGUAGGUGCCGCAAGGCUUAAUUCCCUACCGAGGUGUUGUGAUAGAACGUCAAUGCAUGCAGCGUUGCUGUGUACAGAUGAUCCGUCAAGCCUUCGUGAUUCUGCGGAGGCUUUUUU
rnacentral:sRNA from 1 species